rnacentral:lncRNA from 1 species
AAAAAACCCCAUCUCCUCUUUAGUAGCCACCUAUUAAAAGGAGAAAAAAAAAAAAAAGGGAAAAAUAGGAGAUCUGUAGACAAAGAGAGGAAGCUAUCAGCGGAUGAAGUAGAAAAGAUAGCAGAAUUGUUGGAGAGAGCUAGACGUAGAAGUAUGCAGAAACUUGAAGUCGCGUGUGGCUGGAGAAGAAGCAGAAACGUUGUGAGCUGAGCAGAAAGACAGAAUCAAAAAGCAGAAGUAAAUGUUGAGCAAGCAGAAGGGAAAGUAGUUGAAAAAAAGGGAUUAAUCAAGUAAUUUAUUUAUUUAAUUUUUAAUUAGCAUAUUUUUAGAAUAUAAAUUUUCGUGUAAUUUUUUUUUUAUAAAACCUGAAUG